GUGCUCGCUUCGGCAGCACAUAUACUAAAAUUGGAACGAUACAGAGAAGAUUAGCAUGGUCCCUGCGCAAGGAUGACAUGUUGUGAUCAUCCAAAGUCCACGGUUUA